UACGAAGGGAGCGAGCGUUGUUCGGAAUCACUGGGCGUAAAGCGUGCGUAGGCGGUUUUGUAAGUAAGAAGUGAAAGCCUGGGGCUUAACCUCAGAAUUGCUUUUUUAGACUGCAAAACUGGAGUACUGGAGAGGUUAGUGGAAUUCCGAGUGUAGAGGUGAAAUUCGCAGAUAUUCGGAGGAACACCAGUGGCGAAGGCGACUAACUGGACAGUAACUGACGCUGAGGCACGAAAGCGUGGGGAUCAAACAGG
rnacentral:rRNA from 1 species